CCCGGUGAGACCACGGCGCUGGGUGCGGGCAGCCCAGCAGGGACCUCUAGGGCAGGGAAGUCCAGAAGAAAAAGGAUAUCAAAGUCCAGCUGUCCAGUGUCAUCACAUUCAGAUUCUGCCAUGAGCUGUAAGUCUCUCACAUCUAAAUUUUCUAUUGCAAUAGAACAGCUGCCUGAAAACUGUUGUAGAAUACUGAAAUAUGUCUUUCAUUGAACUAUCAUUAAACAAUAUAUGUUGGGUAUGGCUUGUCUUGUUAUGCUAAAUCCACGUAGUUCAAACAUAUAGACUUAUAGUAUAAUACGUCUGCUUUUUAAAAUACUAGCUUAUGAUAAUCUCAUUCAUUGCAUUUGAAAUGGAAGGCUCAC
rnacentral:lncRNA from 1 species